rnacentral:rRNA from 1 species
UACGUAGGGGGCAAGCGUUGUCCGGAAUCAUUGGGCGUAAAGAGCGUGUAGGCGGCCAUACAGGUCCGUUGUGAAAACUCGAGGCUUAACCUCGAGACGUCGAUGGAAACCGUAUGGCUAGAGUCCGGAAGAGGAGAGUGGAAUUCCUGGUGUAGCGGUGAAAUGCGCAGAUAUCAGGAAGAACACCCGUGGCGAAGGCGACUACCUGGCCUGUUCUUGACGCUGAGGCGCGAAAGCUAGGGGAGCAAACGGG